rnacentral:rRNA from 1 species
AUUGAACGCUGGCGGCAGGCUUAACACAUGCAAGUCGAGCGAGCCGCGGGCGGGUGAGUAAUGACUGGGAAACUGCCUGGUGGAGGAGGAUCACUACUGGGAGCUGUAACUGAUACCGCAUACCAGCACAUGUGCCCAGUUGGGAUUAGGUAGGGGGUGGGGUAAUGGCUGACCAAGGUGACGAUCCCUAGCUGGUCUGAGAGGAUGACCAGCCAAACGGGAACUGAGACACGGUCCAGACUCCUACGGGAGGCAGCAGUGGGGAAUAUUGCACAAUGGGCGAAAGCCUGAUACAGCCAUGCCGCGUGUGUGAAGAAGGUCUUCGGGUUGUAAAGCACUUUAAGCGAGGAGGCGUUACCCGCAGAAGAAGCACCGGCUAACUCCGUGCCAGCAGCCGCGGUAAUUC